rnacentral:rRNA from 1 species
UACGUAGGGUGCAAGCGUUAAUCGGAAUUACUAGGCGUAAAGCGUGCGCAGGCGGUUAUGUAAGACAGUUGUGAAAUCCCCGGGCUCAACCUGGGAACUGCAUCUGUGACUGCAUAGCUAGAGUACGGUAGAGGGGGAUGGAAUUCCGCGUGUAGCAGUGAAAUGCGUAGAUAUGCGGAGGAACACCGAUGGCGAAGGCAAUCCCCCUGGGACCUGUACUGACGCUCAUGCACGAAAGCGUGGGGACA